rnacentral:rRNA from 1 species
GACGAACGCUGGCGGCGUGCUUAACACAUGCAAGUCGAACGGAAAGGCCCUGCUUGCAGGGUACUCGAGUGGCGAACGGGUGAGUAACACGUGGGUGAUCUGCCCUGCACUUCGGGAUAAGCCUGGGAAACUGGGUCUAAUACCGGAUAGGACCAUCGUUUAGUGUCGGUGGUGGAAAGUUUUUCGGUGCAGGAUGAGCUCGCGGCCUAUCAGCUUGUUGGUGGGGUAAUGGCCUACCAAGGCGUCGACGGGUAGCCGGCCUGAGAGGGUGGACGGCCACAUUGGGACUGAGACACGGCCCAGACUCCUACGGGAGGCAGCAGUGGGGAAUAUUGCACAAUGGGCGCAAGCCUGAUGCAGCGACGCCGCGUGGGGGAUGAAGGCCUUCGGGUUGUAAACUCCUUUCAACCAUGACGAAGCGUAAGUGACGGUAGUGGUAGAAGAAGCACCGGCUAACUACGUG